AUUGAAACACUGGUCCCGGUACGAUCAUCGAAGUUAAGCAACAUCGAGCCUGAUCAGUACCUAGAUAGGUGACUGCUUGGAAAUAACAGGUGCUGUAA